AUAUUGCACAAUGGGCGAAAGCCUGAUGCAGCAACGCCGCGUGAAGGAUGAAGGGUUUCGGCUCGUAAACUUCUAUCAAUAGGGAAGAAAGAAAUGACGGUACCUAAAUAAGAAGCCCCGGCUAACUACGUGCCAGCAGCCGCGGUAAUACGUAGGGGGCAAGCGUUAUCCGGAAUUACUGGGUGUAAAGGGAGCGUAGGCGGCAUGGUAAGCCAGAUGUGAAAGCCUUGGGCUUAACCCGAGGAUUGCAUUUGGAACUAUCAAGCUAGAGUACAGGAGAGGAAAGCGGAAUUCCUAGUGUAGCGGUGAAAUGCGUAGAUAUUAGGAAGAACACCAGUGGCGAAGGCGGCUUUCUGGACUGAAACUGACGCUGAGGCUCGAAAGCGUGGGGAGCAAACAGG
rnacentral:rRNA from 1 species